AGCUUCUCUGCUUUUUCCAAUCCACGUCUUGGGUCUACAGAGCUGCUCUUUAUUGACUUUCCAUUGUGGUUUGAACCUAGAACACCCUCCAUAUGUUGAUUUAUUUGAACACCUGGUCCACAGCUGGUGGUUCUGUUUGAGAAGGUCUUAUGUCCUUGUUGGUGAAGACGAGCCAACAGGGCUUUGUGAGUUGUGGUCUGCUCUUCUGUGGUCCUGCUUUCUGUUUCCCGGUCUGGAGAGACACAACAGCCAGAGAGUCCAGUACGACAGAGCCUCCAUACAAUGCCAUCCUUGAAAUGAUGCCAUACACAAACCACAGUCCAGACACAUUUCUCCUCUCUCAAGUUGAUGGUAUCAGGUACUUAGUGUGAAGACAAGAGUGACUGAUUCUGAACAAUGGUACCAAGAGGUGAGGAUCCUUCUGUGAUAAACCUGACCCUGUAGCUCUUAGGUCUUCAGAACUGAUUUCUGGAAGGACUGUGGAAGAAUUUGAAGCUGAAGACUAGAGGAGCCCAAGAAUGUUGUAAAAGAGCCUAAUGAGCCAAUCUGGUGGAACUUGGAAGGCCAGAACACAGAUGGAAAUGUGGAUAGGAUAUUUCUUCUCUUCAGCUGAGCAGGCUGCUGAAACCUGUUCUAACGGGGCUUGGAUAGGUCUCAAAUUUGUUUUCAUCCACGUCGCUGACUUUGCCAGCAUGCAGAAUACAAGGAUGACAUUCUUCUGAAGAUUUGCAUAGAGGUUCAGGGGCUGGCGGGAGCCUAUGAGACCUGGCAGUGUGUGACAAGGCCAGACUCCCUGCCAGAAUGCCCAGAGAGGCCAGCAUGCAUACCUAAACUGCAGUGGAGACACGAAGACACCAGGAAUACGAGGCAUCUGCCGUACAGGUGAGAAGUCUGCAUGAGGGA
rnacentral:lncRNA from 1 species